rnacentral:rRNA from 1 species
GUGUCAGCAGCCGCGGUAAUACGUAGGGGGCCAGCGUUGCUCGGAAUAACUGGGCGUAAAGGGUUCGUAGGCGGUGCGGCAAGUUGGGAGUGAAAUCUCUGGGCUUAACUCAGAGACUGCUUUCAAAACUGCCGUGCUAGAGUGCGGGAGAGGCCAGUGGAAUUGCAGGUGUAGCGGUGAAAUGCGUAGAUAUCUGCAGGAACACCCGUGGCGAAGGCGGCUGGCUGGACCGCAACUGACGCUGAGGAACGAAAGCUAGGGGAGCAAACAGGAUUAGAUACCCUGGUAGUCC